AAACUCCUAGCCUUGGUGUCUACGUUGUUGCUUUUAUGGACAAUAUGAUGCUCUGGCCGUGGCUUUAUGCCACCAGGGUGCGAGGUAGAAAUGCCUGCAUCUCCCGUAUUUGGAAAGGUGUUAUGGUACAAC
rnacentral:ncRNA from 1 species